GACGAACGCUGGCGGCGUGCUUAACACAUGCAAGUCGAACGGAAAGGCCCUGCUUUUGUGGGGUGCUCGAGUGGCGAACGGGUGAGUAACACGUGAGUAACCUGCCCUUGACUUUGGGAUAACUUCAGGAAACUGGGGCUAAUACCGGAUAUGAGCUCCUGCUGCAUGGUGGGGGUUGGAAAGUUUCGGCGGUUGGGGAUGGACUCGCGGCUUAUCAGCUUGUUGGUGGGGUAGUGGCUUACCAAGGCUUUGACGGGUAGCCGGCCUGAGAGGGUGACCGGCCACAUUGGGACUGAGAGACGGCCCAGACUCCUACGGGAGGCAGCAGUGGAGAAUAUUGCACAAUGGGCGGAAGCCUGAUGCAGCAACGCCGCGUGCGGGAUAACGGCCUUCGGGUUGUAAACCGCUUUCGCCUGUGACGAAGCGUGAGUGACGGUAAUGGGUAAAGAAGCACCGGCUAACUACGUG
rnacentral:rRNA from 1 species